GUGCUUAACACAUGCAAGUCGAACGAUGAAAGAGGAGCUUGCUCCUCUGGAUUAGUGGCGAACGGGUGAGUAACACGUGAGCAAUCUGCCCCUGACUCCGGAAUAACUACGGGAAACUGUAGCUAAUACCGGAUAUGCGCCGAACAGGCAUCUGUAUCGGUGGGAAAGAAUUUCGGUCAGGGAUGAGCUCGCGGCCUAUCAGCUUGUUGGUGAGGUAACGGCUCACCAAGGCGACGACGGGUAGCGGGCCUGAGAGGAUGAUCAGCCACACUGGGACUGAGACACGGCCCAGACUCCUACGGGAGGCAGCAGUGGGGAAUAUUGGACAAUGGGCGAAAGCCUGAUCCAGCCAUGCCGCGUGUGUGAUGAAGGCCUUAGGGUUGUAAAGCACUUUUGUUCGGGAAGAUAAUGACUGUACCGGAAGAAUAAGCCCCGGCUAACUUCGUGCCAGCAGCCGCCGUAACAC
rnacentral:rRNA from 1 species